CGCCUGUUUAACAAAAACAUCGCCAAAAACCAACUUUUGGUAGAAUCUGCCCAGUGAUUUAUUCAACGGCCGCAGUAUCCUUACUGUGCUAAGGUAGCAUAAUCAUUAGUCUCCUAAUUAGAGACUCGUAUGAAUGAUCUGACGAGAAACUUCCUAUUUUAGCAAUACUUUGAACUUAGGUGAGAGAUCAAAACCUCUCUCUUUAUCAAAAGGACGACAAGACCCUAUAAAACUUCACCUUACAAGAAUUUUUCUUAGAAAAUCUUUAACUCUCUAAAGGUUAUGCUGGGGCGGCAAAUUUUACUAUUUUCAAAUUUUAUCCUAACAACCUAUUUGAUUUUUACAAACACUCUUAUGUAAUUAAGAACAAGUUACUUUAGGGAUAACAGCGUUAUAAUUCUUCAGAGCCCUUAUCGACAGAAUUGAUUACGACCUCGAUGUUGAAUUGAGAAACCUUAGUGGAGCAGCCCUUACUAAAGGAAGUCUGUUCGACUUUUAAUCUCUCACAUGAUCUGAGUUCAGACCGG
rnacentral:rRNA from 1 species